CCCAAGUUGGUGGUAAUAGGAGGUUUAGGCCCUUGGAAGCUGAUCAGAUCAUGAGGACUUAGAUCUCAGUUCUGUUGAGAGCCAGGAGCUGCAGCCGCACAGAUGGUGCACUCUAGGCCUCUUUGUGGCCUACCCCAUGGGACAUUGCACACUUGGAAAUCAAUUGACUAGAAUAAAGCCUUUAAAAAAAGAACUUCCCCCUUUGAAAAAUCCUUUCAUUUAUUUUCCAGUCUCAGAAUCCUUCAAAGGGCUAAAAGCUUAAAGAUGACAAAGUGUGAAAACGAAGGCCCAUCAAAUGAAAAAAGCAAUGGUUAUUUAUUCUGACGCAAGGGCGUCAGCCACCGGCAUCAGCCACCGGCACUUGCAUUUUGACAGAGCUUAGAAGGCAGGUAGAGGAGUGGGACAGCUUUAUAGCUGAGGAAAGGGAAGGCUUCAGGUGUGCCCUGAUUGGAGACUGCUGGUGUGGGGAAGCUGCCUGUGGGCUAACUAGAAGGGGGACAUCCAGUGUGCUUGGUUAGGGGUGC
rnacentral:lncRNA from 1 species